rnacentral:lncRNA from 13 species
GGAGAGGAGGCAGAGCGAGGUGACGCUGUAGCAGGGAUUGAGGGAGAGGAGGCAGAGGUGACGCUCUAGCAGGGGCUGAGGGAGAGGAGGCAGAGGUGACGCUCUAGUAGGGGCUGAGGGAGAGGAGGCAGAGCGAGGUGACGCUGUAGCAGGGGCUGAGGGAGAGGAGGCAGAGCGAGGUGACGCUGUAGCAGGGGCUGAGGGAGAGGAGGCAGAGCGAAGU